ensembl:lncRNA
UUUUGUUCCAAUGGAGAAAGGCUCACUGAUUGGGGAGGACAGGUGACCAUUCAAGUUUGGGCCCGAUCCCUCCUCUGGUCCCCCCCCCCCCCAACCCUCAAGGUCGCCGGCGGAUAGAGGGCAAAGGGUGUCAUUCCGUCCCCCCCGGAGGAACAAAUCAAAGUGGCGGACAAGCAAAACACCUGAGGUGAUUUAAGACGUUGCAUUGCACUUUCCUUUCUUUAAUAUCGCUCAUGUUUGAGUCUUUUUAGUACAUGUUUAGAUGUUAACAUCCACGACAAGGCCAGCAGAUGUAGUCAGUGCAGGCGGUGCAGGCGGACCGGUAAAAGGGAUUCAGAAAUAUGCAAAUGCACCAAUAACUCAAGUUAAAUUAACAUUCACACGAGCAACUUAAUUCUCCUGCUGUGUGAAAAAAAAAAAAAAUGUAAUUCUAAGUAAUCAAUCAAAGGUGUAGACAUGAAAGACGGAGGAGAUAAUGAAGGAGAAGAUAAGUGAGAUCAAGACCGGCCUUUAAUCACACGCACUGAGGAAAACAUGGUGGCACGUGAUAACAGCCUCACGUGACUGCAAAGGUCUCUUCACUUCGGGCCUUCUGAAGCAAACACGACGCGGUGGCGGCGGCGGCGGGGGCGGCGACAUCGACACGCAGCCUCCGUCAGAGGUCCGUUUGCUCUCCUCUAAAGCACACGAGCGCUCCGGCCACGCAAACGGCUUUCAACAGGGGGGGGCGGGUGCUUUUUCUGCCCGACAUUCCCACGCAACCUUUCCUAAAUAUUACAUUUCAGAACCGCGAGUUUGCCUCGCGAGAUAAUCGACUCAUCUCCUGACAAUUUGCUGUGUUUAGUUUUGAAAGGAGGGGAAAUUGAGAGUUGUGUGGGUAAGAAGGCGAGGAGCAGAUAAUUGGCCUCAGAGGACGGGAUGCAUCAUCUGAACUUUGAUCUGAGAUAUCUUUAUGCUGUUUUCACACGUUGAACCGCCAGUGGCGCAGUUGGCAGUGAGCCCGGUUUGAUGUUCCUUUUUAUUCCUUUUUAUUCCUGUUUACUUUUCCAGCGCCUCGACUCACAAACGCACAAAUACCCAAAUAUGUCAAAACGAAGUUCAUCGGGAAAUCACUUUAUUUAGUCGAUAGAUAGUUCAGUGAUGAGUGAAAACCAGCUCAGCAGAUCUUUGUGUUCAUACAUUAUACCUUAAGUCUUUUAAUAGAAUAGUUUCAGUAAUAGCGAAUAUUUCAAACUUUCUCAUUUAGCCACAAGAAGAAUAAUGCUCUUUGUCAUUAUUGUCAGUUACUUAUGUACCUAUUUUCUGCAGCAUCUUGCAUCUAAAGAAUUUAGAAACAUCAAAAAGACUUUCUCCUUUUCUUCUUCUGGUUCCCGAGACUCACGGAACAUUCAGCAGAAUCCUUCUUGGCGUUAUCGGCAGGCCGCUGACGGGCAGCUGCCUUAACCUCCACCGGGACGCUGCACCAAGCGCAGAGGAGCGAUUUCCAUUCACCUUUUGAAUGAAUGUCAGAGGCUUCAGCUUGGGGGGGAGAUGGGAGGGGGGGGGACUGUUUGUCAAUUUCGACAUUUGAAUUUCAAUAAAACGCGCGCAGUGGCUUAAGAAUCUCUGCAGACCGAACCGAGUGGAAAUGCUUUCAGAUGUCUGAUCAUGUAGGAACAUCAGUGCACGGAACUUUUCUUUGGACAAGAACACAACAUUAAAGGGAACCGUUGCAUAUUUUCAACAGGCUUUGUAUAGUUUGAUGUGGGUGGUUUUUGUGCCGAUGAGCAAUGUUCGACCUCCACCCGAGCACGCACCACCCACAAUGCAACCACACAAAGCCAGUUCAAAAUGGUUGAAAAGGUGAAAUUGAUACCAUUGGUUUGCUAUUCUACAUGAUAUGCAUUAAUCAAUGACGCUAUCCCUUUAAGGUCUCUGUAUCAGAUACUUGCAGGCGCGUCUUUAAAAUGAAUGAGUGGGACUGCUGAGUGAUUAGCAUCAGCUAUAAGGAAGCCUUGAUUUGUCAGGUCCGUUUUUUUGGAUUCCUUCACAGCCGAGGAAACUUAAUAUAAAAAUGUAAGAUUGCAUAAACCAUGACCCGGGAUUUAUUCAUAUCAGGAAUUUAAUAAAUGAAUGAACCAGGGAUUACAAGGUGGAUCUAUGAGGCUAUAUGCAUCUCAAACCAUCUGCAAUAUUUCAUGUUUCUCCAAUAUUUAUUCUUCUCACAUUAAUUUAUUAAAAGCCUCAUGUCUAAAAAUGCCGUCAUUUUUAAUUGAGCACUCUGAUAAAUUACAGGGGUUGACGCAUGAUGAUACAUUCAUUACUUCUGUAACAAUAUGUAUAUAUAUAUAUGUAUAUUUAUAUAUAUAAAUAUAUAUGCAUUCAUUACAUUAUCGUGUGAUUACCGAGAAACAUGUGUAGCCUUGUUUUUUUUCCUCUCAGCUCCGUCUCUCCAAUUACCUUCAGCGUUAUGGAAUGCAGAGCCACAUUCGAGCCGUGCUCCAACAGAAGUGCUGCAUAUUAGCAUUUAUGUUCUGCUUCGCCCGGCGUUCAGAAAUAGUCGAUGAGCGGCGAAGACAAUGACCUUCAAACCGACUUCCUCCCCCUGUGUCUCCAAGCGUCAACACAACACAAACCGUUGCCUGAGAGCCGGUUCUGUGGUUUUGAAUUGUGAUGAUGUCGUUGUAUCAAACUUAAUACGCUCACUCCUGCCGGCACAUGGAUUCCCGCAGUCAGCACGCAGCCAAAAGGUGGACCGCGAGGACGGGCAGAGAAAGACCUUCAGAGUGACUGCAUGCCUCUUUGUGCAGAGAAUCCUCAAGUAGCAGCAACGAAAAAAAACCUGUGGCCCGAGAACAAGUCCCAGGGGUGCGAUUAGCUCCGUGGAGCCCAGGUCCCGUCACUGGAUGGGCUCUCAGAGGCACGAGGGCAAUGGGCUCCUUGUGUUGUUUUAUAUAAAGUGUGUUCGGGUGUCCACAGAGACUCGUGGUGGCAUAAUGUACGGCGGGGCUUCCUGCGCACAUGUCUUAUCGCACAUUGAGAGUGACGUGCUUCUAGAGACCCGUUUAUAGCGACGCACAAAGAGUGCACGCAGUGCAAGAAGGCGAUUCGCUUUGAUGGAUUUCAUUCACUGAGAGGUUGACAAAGCAGCUUGUUUGUGGCUUUUGCUCAGAUUUGAGGAGACGUCUGCAUGAAAAACACCGGGCAGGAUGCGGCUCUCACUCCCUGUGUGGAGGUCGGGCUAAUCAACAUUCACAUCGUCUUCCUCAUAAGUCAAGAAGUUUCUCGGACAUAAAAAAAUCUAUUUGAAGAUGCUUAUUGCACAUGUGCGGAGGGGAGGACCGGACCUUUGUGGGAGGUUGUGAUUAUGACUAACGCAGCAGCUGAGCCUGCACAGCCAUGAACAAUGGCCGUGUCCAUUACCGGAGUCCUGUGGCUGGAUUAAACACGUCUUCUCCGGGUCUUUCAGCAGUUUCACUUUCUCUGUGCUCACAAUUCUGGUGAACAAAAAACUAAACAGGCCAUACAGCGAACUUCUAAGAUCAUGUGACGGCACAUGGAUGGGCCGACAAAACAAGAAAGAGCGCGGCUGCUGCGCAAGCUAAGCCAUUAGCACAAAGGCUAACCCAGUAGCACAAGGGCUAACCCAGUAGCACAAGGGCUAAGCCAUUAGCACAAAGGUUAACGCAGUAGCACAAGGGCUAACCCAGUAGCACAAGGGCUAACCCAGUAGCACAAAGGCUAACCCAGUAGCACAAGGGCUAACCCAGUAGCACAAAGGCUUACCCAGUAGCACAAGGGCUAAGCCAAUAGCACAAAGCUAACCCACUGAAGGAGCCGAUUAAAUAAGGACUUAUGGCAACAUUUUGUUUUUUUGUGGCACGUUGCACAGUUACAGUCUGCAACAAUUCACAAUAUCAGGAGAGCCGAGAACACGAUAAUAAUACGUUUUAAUACGUUUUGGAGAAAUUCUGUAACUUAACACAUAGAUUUGAGGUUCAUUUUGGAUGCAACUGUGACACCGUAACAACAAGCAUGGAGAAAAAUAAAAAAAGGAAUUCUUGUCCUCUGUUUGAACACCACCUGUGUUUUCACCUUUAGUUCCGGGGAACAGUUGAUACGUGAACACUUGGAUGUUGCAUAAUCUCCAUUAGUGGUACAAGGCUGAGCCAGUUUGCACUCAGAGCCCAUUUGGCACACAGAAGAAAAGCCGAACCUCCCACGCGAGGCCUCGGUGUGAUUCUCUAUCUAUUAGUUUGUUCAACUGUUUUGCCCGCAGGCCGGCCGAUCGCCACAGGAAAAAGCCAGGACGCGUUGCCUUAAUGUUUCCGUCACGUCUUGGGCAUAAUCGCCACGGGUUUUAGAAGGACGCUGCGGUCACGGAUAACCCGCCGCGCUCUGUCUGCGUCUGCUGCCUCAUCAAACAGGGCCGAUCUCCCCCCACUGUACUCCCCCUUCAGCAUAAACACAAGUGUCACAGCUGUUUUGUCGGUACAGAUAUUUUUCAUUAGCUGUCGCGUUAUGUUGUUAUACACACACAGUAUCCGUUUGGGUUUUGUGUCUAAUAGGAUUGCAAAGAGAUCCUUUCCAAACCUGACAAGCAGAAGGUCCCCAGACCUUGUGGACAUCAGAACUACAAAAAAGUUCCUUGUCGCCGAUCCUGUUUAUUCAAGGAAUCUUUUACUAGAAAAGAGGAGCAAACAUUACCUGGCGCAAAACAAAGGGUGUUUAAAGUUAGUAAAAAUACAUCAUGCUCUCACCGAGCUCCCUUUUCCCAAGUUCUCCGACAUCGAAAAACUGCUCGCGGCAGGCAGGAGGCCUGUGAACGCGUCCGCGCGUGUGUGGGUGUCGUACACUCGACCCGCGGCAAAGUCGGUACAAUAAGUACGAUGUGAUGCUGAUCAACACGCUGGAAUAAGGAGUCUUACGCGAUGCAGAAGAUCAACUGUUCCGUUUGAUCGUUACUCUCAAACGCUCAUCCUGAGUGAAACGCAGAGCUUAAAUGAGCAGGAAUAAUGUCCACGCACGCUGGUUGACGGUGCAGAGUUGACGUCCACGCACACGCGCGCGCAUGCAUGCACACGCACACAGUAUGAUUCUUCACUCAGGUUCUUUCACUUUCUCCUCACAGCUCAGCUGCUCAAACGUGUCUCUUUAUUCUGAAAAGCCCAUCUUCAGAAACACUGAUUAUGCUAUUUCACGCAUGUGAAGAGAUUAUUCAAAGCCGUCAGCAAGUUUGUCAUCGUGUUAGGCUCAACAGAUUAUGACUUAAUAUCGUCAACAGAAACAUUGUGCAGCGACGGAACACAGAAGGAGCCACGUGAAGACUUGAAUGCAGAUGUUUUCGGUUAGUGCAUUUAACAAAGUCUGGGCGGCAGUCGUUAAUCUGGGGAUGAGUCCUUUCAGUCAGCUUUUCAAUGUGAAUGCAAAGCUAUAUUUGGCAUGUUGAAAAUCCACCUGUGCACAUUUAUGGUGUCACAUAUCUGCGCAUGGUGCACAAGAACAUGAUUUUCCUCUCAGGUGGGACGAGUCGACUCCCUCUUUCCUAUUCCAUGGCUGCCAUCGCGGCGUGGUGGGAGGUGCGGUGCUUUCAGAAGAGAUGAAAAGGUUUUAUUGACCAGCUCCCCACCACAUCCGCCGCUAAUGCCCCCCCCCCCCCCUCCCCGGGCAGCUCCCUCGGAGGUGGUCGGCACCCGGACGAGGAAAUCACCAAGCGUGUGGCGACGAGCGCGCGCUGCGGCCUGCGUGCACGGAGGCCGUUAAUCUGAGGUCCAAUCGCGAAUUUGCAGAUGCACAACAAAGAGAACAUCUGGCUGAGAUCCGCCUUCGCGUGUUGUGAGUGAUUAAGAAUGGCGCGCAAAUGCUUCAUAUGAGGCAAACGUGUACUUAAUAAGGGAUUCGUUCAAGGAACGCGCGGCUUUUGUGCAAGCUCUUCUAUUAUCGACUGCAGUGAACGAUAAGUGAGCACGAUACCAGUGAUUGAAUAAAGAAAUGCAUGCGAUGAAUUGAUUUCGUUUCUUGUCUUUUGUGGUAUAAUUGCACCUUUUGGCUAUUCCCAUCCGCAAUGGUAAAAGAAACAAAGAAUAAUGAUGAGUCGAAGAGAAAGACCAAUUAUCUGAGUAUCAGCACUCACCAAUCAGCGUUGCAGGCUCGCUGGCGUCCUCAUUGGCUGUGAGGACGGGUGGGUGAGGAACGUUCUAUCAUCUCUGAAUGCACUUCAGGAGCUUUCAUUACAAUUUGUAUUCCACAUUACUCGCCAACACGGUGUGCACCCUUAAGCCCUGAAGAAACAUGCGGAAUGCAUUUCCUACCUCACCAAAUCCGUACAAAGCGCCUGUCUUUUCCUCUUCUCUUAUGUUGACUCAAGUUCCAUUGCAAAACAAAAAUAUAUAUGUUGGACAAGCGGGCAAAACCUCAGAAAGACGUGGCAGUUUUUUACUCAUUUUCUGCGACAUUUGCAACAUCUGCAGAUGGCAAAUAAUGCACUUUGUGUAGCACCGACAUUGCAGGGCGUGGCGGGUGAUGCUGCAUGCGACAACAUGGAUGAAGGGAACCAUACGAAAUGAACGAGACUCCCUGCGAGGCGCUGGCACGAAAAACACGCAAACCGAGCAAAAUAAAAGCAGUUUCAUGAAACUCACCAAAUCCAAUUCAGCAAAGACAAUGAGGCGGAUUAUCGCCGCUCGCGUCCCACACGGCGGCACCACGGCGGCCGUGAAGUUUCCGCCUCGUUCUUCUAAAUAUUUGAUGUGGUAAAAGCAAGAGGCUGUUUGUUCUUUGCACAUGGCCACCGGAGGAUGCACGCGGCGCCCCUCCCUCGCUCGGAUGCAGCGAGCAACACAGCGGCGCGCUUCAUACAAUCUUAUCUGUAAGCAAAUGUCUGCGUAUUUGAAGGAACGUGCGUUUGCAGGCUGUUUCCCUGCGUCUUCUUUAAUUAGGGGAAGUUGCACACCGUGCUCACGUUCCUGUCAAAUAAGGCCUUGAUCUGUUUUUUAUUUUUCUCCCAUACAAUUUUCAGGAACUCUACAAUGUUGAGACUCACAUUUCCAUUAGGAGAGUUCAAAAGUUAAGACCAAUCUUGAAUAGAAAUAUUCAGAAAUAUGGAUUCAAAAAUAAAUACAAAAAAUGAAAGAAUGAUUGGUUGGCCUUCUCUGCUUUGUAUGAAGCAAAUAAAUCUUGCUGAAAGCAAAGCUGAAAACGUGCUUUUAUCUCCCGUCUCCAUGGAAAAGGGCAUUUAUUUGUUUAUUUAUUUUUUUGGUGAUGAGGCUUUUGUUGUUUUGUGCUGCUACGCUGAAAUUGCCCUUUUCCAUUGCCGAUGUUUGUCGGCCCCCGUGAGAGGAGCUGCC